CUUUCCCCAAAGCAAAUAGAACAGCUGCAGAAGGACACCAGUUCAUAAAGGUGUCACAAUGGGACCCUCAUGUCAUCAAAUAUAUUACAUUAGCAUGUUUUAUAUCUCCUGUAGCAACCAGUAACAACAAUUAAUCACAUUACUGAUCAUUGUGAAAACAUUAUCGUUAAGCAAUCAUCAUUUAAAUUAUUACCUAUUACAUCCAGCUGUUUGUGCUACUAAACGUGAAUUGGGAUGCUAGGAGAAGGACUUGUUUUAGAAUGCCUUUGCCUGGAGGGAGAGUGGACAAGCCAGGUGUGGGCUCAGCGCUUGUGGGUCACUGCUCUCAAUUCUGUAGCUGGUCCAAUAAGAGUUGACCUUCUUACCCAUUACAAGCCUUCCCAGCCAUAUAGCCAGUAACAAACAGGAUUUCUUCCACACUCCCAUCUUUAUGUGAAGAGGCAUUGUGGUGCUUAUUGGGAUCUUCCUAACCAACAACCGUCCAGUGUGUUUGUCUGUCUAAGCAGCUCUACAGAUGAGAUGACCAGUGGUAAUUGUGACUGGACAUAGACUACAUCCUCUUCCAGAUAAAACUCCAGACCAUCACAUCCCAUAACUCAAUCUGGAGCCAAACUGCAACCUCAGAUUUGAGUCCUUUGAAUCUCCCUUUGAAACUUGCUGUUACUGAUUCUGGGCCAGCUUCCAAGUGAGAACAAAUCAACUUCCUGUUCUGGAUAAUGCAUUUUCAUGCCAGCAGCUGCGUGUGCCUGACAGUGUCUAGGAAUCUGGGGCUUAGGUCUCCAUGGUGAUCUAAUGUGCGCCUGUACGUUUCUGCAGUCCUCAGUGUCAGGUCAUCUAGUCUUAAAAACACUCUAACAAUAAAAAGUACAUGUAACUUAAAUCUGUGCCUAGAUCUGUUGUUUCUGAGGGACUAAUGUCAAAAGCACAAAAACCAGUCCAACUGGUAAUAAUUAUCACUCCAAGAAGUCACUGCAAAAGGCCAAGUACUCUUGGAGAUUUGAAGUCGCAUCUGAUUCAUAGAUGUGGUCCUUUCAAGUCAAGGUAGAAGGGCUAU